rnacentral:rRNA from 1 species
UAAUACAGAGGUCCCGAGCGUUGUUCGGAUUCACUGGGCGUAAAGGGUGCGUAGGUGGCGAAGUAAGUCGGAUGUGAAAUCUCCGAGCUCAACUCGGAAACUGCAUUGGAAACUACUUUGCUCGAGGAUUGGAGGGGGGACUGGAAUACUUGGUGUAGCAGUGAAAUGCGUAGAUAUCAAGUGGAACACCAGUGGCGAAGGCGAGUCCCUGGACAAUUCCUGACACUGAGGCACGAAAGCUAGGGGAGCAAACAGG